AGAGUUAUAGUUAAACAUAAUAUUUGGUUUGCAUCCAAAAGGUACUUACUUUAGUAAGUUUAC
rnacentral:tRNA from 1 species